rnacentral:rRNA from 1 species
GAACGCUGGCGGCAUGCCUAACACAUGCAAGUCGAACGGAAACGAUGGAAGCUUGCUUCCAGGCGUCGAGUGGCGGACGGGUGAGUAAUACUUAGGAAUCUGCCCAGUAGUGGGGGACAACCAGGAGAAAUUCUGGCUAAUACCGCAUACGCACUACGGUGGAAAGUGGAGGAUCUUCGGACUUCACGCUAUUGGAUGAGCCUAAGUCGGAUUAGCUUGUUGGUGAGGUAACGGCUCACCAAGGCGACGAUCCGUAGCUGGUCUGAGAGGACGAUCAGCCACACUGGGACUGAGACACGGCCCAGACUCCUACGGGAGGCAGCAGUGGGGAAUAUUGGACAAUGGGCGCAAGCCUGAUCCAGCAAUGCCGCGUGUGUGAAGAAGGCCUGCGGGUUGUAAAGCACUUUCAGUAGAGAAGAAAAGCCUAGGGUUAAUACCCCUGAGUCUUGACGUUACCUACAGAAGAAGCACCGGCUAACUCCGUGCCAGCAGCCGCGGUAAU